AUGUGAGUGGUGAUGAUGAUCAAUAUUGGGAUAUGCUUUUCUGACUAAUAGGUUAUCUGACUUAUCUCACAU
rnacentral:pre_miRNA from 2 species